ACUGACGCUGCAGUGGUGGGGGUUCUUUCCGAUAGAGGAACUCCAGUGUUGGAAAGCAAUUCAGUUAUUCAGUGGCGGAAGAUGUGACAGGCGCGACUGAUGGCAUUUACAUCAAGAUGGCAAGGCUGGUGCAAACACAAUGCAGAUUAUGUUCUUUGAAAACAGCUGGAUGUCCUCAGUGGCAAGCACCAAACAGGAGGCGAAGAGAAGAUAUUUUGAUCCCUAAAGUAGUCUUUCUCAAACACUAAUCUGUGAGUUCAAAAAUAAUUGGCAAAUGAAUAACUUACUGAUGUUUCCAACUCCAUCC